GAUGAACGCUGGCGGCGUGCCUAAUACAUGCAAGUCGAGCGAACGGACGAGAAGCUUGCUUUUCUGAUGUUAGCGGCGGACGGGUGAGUAACACGUGGAUAACCUACCUAUAAGACUGGGAUAACUUCGGGAAACCGGAGCUAAUACCGGAUAAUAUUUUGAACCGCAUGGUUCAUAAGUGAAAGACGGUCUUGCUGUCACUUAUAGAUAGAUCCGCGCUGCAUUAGCUAGUUGGUAAGGUAACGGCUUACCAAGGCAACGAUGCAUAGCCGACCUGAGAGGGUGAUCGGCCACACUGGAACUGAGACACGGUCCAGACUCCUACGGGAGGCAGCAGUAGGGAAUCUUCCGCAAUGGGCGAAAGCCUGACGGAGCAACGCCGCGUGAGUGAUGAAGGUCUUCGGAUCGUAAAACUCUGUUAUUAGGGAAGAACAUAUGUGUAAGUAACUGUGCACAUCUUGACGGUACCUAAUCAGAAAGCCACGGCUAACUACGUG
rnacentral:rRNA from 1 species